rnacentral:rRNA from 1 species
UACGUAGGGUGCAAGCGUUAUCCGGAAUUAUUGGGCGUAAAGAGCUCGUAGGCGGUUUGUCGCGUCUGCCGUGAAAGUCCGGGGCUCAACUCCGGAUCUGCGGUGGGUACGGGCAGACUAGAGUGAUGUAGGGGGAGACUGGAAUUCCUGGUGUAGCGGUGAAAUGCGCAGAUAUCAGGAGGAACACCGAUGGCGAAGGCAGGUCUCUGGGCAUUAACUGACGCUGAGGAGCGAAAAGCAUGGGGGAGCGAACAGG